AGGAUAUCUUUUUCUGGGGGCCACCUGCCUGCCUAAGGCCUUCUCAAGGCACCACAGUAUUACUUAUCAUUAACAGAGCUGAGAUCUGUGAAGAAGAGGAUUUCUCCUAAGGAGAAGAGAAAAUGGAAUCAGAAGUCAGUGUGAAGGAAAGCUUUGAAAAUGUGAGAAGAUUAAGCCUGUCAGAACAAAAGAAAUUACUACAGACAGCGAAAAUACAACACUCCAUCAAUGGCAGGCAUUUUUUUUCAGAUGAGUAUCCUGUGUAUUAUAUACAUCUACAAGCCCUCGUUUCAUGGUUUAUUUUAAAAAUUGGUUUAUUUUAUUCUAUGAUUUAAAAAAAAAAAGGGGGGGGGAAGAUAUUAAUAUCUUUCUCAAAGUUGCCAACAACUGUUUUGACCUUUAAGGAGCCUAAAAACAACUGCAUCUGGAAGUACAGUAUUUUUAGAAAUAGGCAGAAACUUUGAGAGUGCAUUUAGGGGAGCUGUGGGUGUCUUCUUAAAAAGGAUUUUAUGACUUUUCAAUUCAGUGCAACUUCAUUUCAUAUAAAAAUGAAUUUCAACGUGUACCUGAAGAUGAAAAGCAUGAAUGCACAGAAUAUAAUUUGAGAAAAUUAUCUUUUCAAUUGGAAUUAAUAAGUAAGGAAAUCCAGUAGUCAGAAAAUGCCAAGUUAACUCAUUCACUGAAGAUGAAAUGACAUUUUCUUUUUUUAGUGCCUGUCUCCUAGCUAUUAACUUACUGAAAAAGCACAUAUGUUCCAGUGAUAUAACACUAGACUUUUGUAUAGAUAUCUGUCUCAAAAUUUAUGAAUUUCACUGACAGUUUCUUAUUACUUCUGUAAUUCAUGAUGUAGCUCUGCCACCUGUCAUGAAAACUACAAUUGCUGAGCAGAAUCCUAUGACGUGUAUAUAUGCCACUACAUACAAUUUUCUGUCCUGUUCUUUUGCAUUAUAUCAUCCAUGUUAUGUUUGGUAGCAGUACUGAUACAUGCUGUUUACACAGCUGGAAAUUUAAAAAUAAAUUGCAAUGUUACCACACCAAAAGCACUGUAUCUUGUAAAGACUAAGCAAGCAAAGGUGUUUACUGAAAUUGCAUAGAGAAGGAAUGCUUCAUAUUGUUUCUAGCAAUUAUUUCUGCAGGAAGAUUUUCCUUGAAUUAGUGCGUGAAGUUUGCUUGUUUUACAGAGGCAGUGUGAAGGACAGAUGAUAAUAGAUUGUUGCAGAAAAUAACUGUAUUAUGAACAAGUUUGUACCUUGUAUAAUACCUUUUUAAGUUGUUUUCUGGGCAUGUCUGACACGUGAUGUUUUGAAGGGGCAGCCUUUUUAUCAAUGGCAAUGGGAUAGAAAAGAAUCACAGUCUAGGGGAAAGACUCCUUAGACCAGAAAGUUGCAUUUUUAUGGAAUGAGUAUUAAAGACAGCUUUAUACAAGGUAAUUUAAAGUGACAUUGUUUAAAUUGAAUGUAUACAGGUUACACAUACAUCUUCAUGUUGUAAGCUUUCUUAUUUCUUCACACUUUGCCUUGUUUUAUAUUCUGUGACAACAGAAAACAGUAUCUUUCAUAAAAUGCUUUUGCAUCUGGCGCUUGUUUUCCACAUUGCCAAGCAUAUGCACUUCUGCAGGACGGGUGAGUCUUGCCAAAUCUUUCUUGACU